ensembl:lncRNA
UGAUAAAGAAAGAACGAGUGAACGAUCAGACGCGUUACUGUGAAAGUGGCGCGCGCGUCUUUAGCGGGUCAAACCGCUUUCCGGCGACACGUCCUCCUCCAGACAAACUACAGCUCCUCACGGGGGUUUAGAUGCAUUAACAUGCUGUAUCCAUCACUAUUUUAUGCGGUCAAUUCAUUUAAUUUCCAUGAAAUCGCUCUACCUUCUAGGGAGAAGUCAUCUUCUUGCUAGCAGGAAGAGCCUCGUUCAGAGACAAACCUCUUCCGGGUCAACCUCAAAUUCAAAAGGUUGACGGGAAUAUUCCAUUUAAAUACUUAUCUAAAACACAUAUGCAUACUGUUUUAAAUUAAAUGUUUGUUUUUUUUUCAUUCUUUUUUUUUAUUUCAACUGUUUUUCAUUGGGAAAAAAGUACAUCGAGAAGUAAAACGGAAGUAGUUCAACAGGUCUUGUAUGGCAAGCGUUAAGGGCCAAAACUCGCUAGAAAAUACACCGUAAAGAGCGAAGAUCUGACCGAGGUUCCGCACAGACCAGACUUGCCGGUACAUGUCCUCUCUGGAGGGUCCCGUCCCACCAGGGGGAGGCUGGGCGGGAUUUGAAGAGGCUGACCUGAGCGGCCUGGCUUCAGCUCCACGGUUGGAUCCUCGUCAUGGAUGGACGAGACCUGCAGGCUGGAUGUGAGAGGACCCUGCAGAGGUUACCGGUCUGGAUCAUAGAGCAUGUGUGGACUCACAAGAUCAUGGAUGUCCGAGAAGUUGUCGACUCGUCCAGCUGGCCGGAUGUGGAUUCUCAGCCUCUCAGCCUGGAGGACUCGUGGAGGCUGCGUGUCACCGCCGCACGCGUCUACUCCAUCAUGAAGAGCAGAGACCUGCAGAACUUUGAGAAAGUCUUGGGCUUCCUGGAAACCACUCGCAGGCUUUUACCCCGACUGGUGCCGGCCAUCAAACACAUGAAGAUCAUGUUUGGCGUGAAAACCAUGAUCAUUAUGUGGAUGCUGAAGGAACACAAAGGAAUAGUUGAAACUGUGACUCAAAUACUGCGGUUCUUCCCACACAAACUCCCUCAGUACCAAGAUCAGUGUAGUCCACGAGAAAUGUUCAUCAUGAGGAAGAAUCACGUGGACUUUAGGAAUCUGGCUCAAGCUCUCGCUAUAGACCAGGAGCGUCUGGAGGAUUACAUCAAGCUUCAACACUUCCAGAUGGUUGAUCUUCUGGUUCACAUCACCAACUCUAAACUGAUGUGUUUAUAAAGCCUCACAUCGCGUGGGUUCCAGCUAAAUUCAACCAGCUAAAGGAGACGUCAUUUGUCGUGAGGUUCACAUACAUUUUCCAUCCUACACUUUGAAUAUUUACAUGUUUUGUUCAAUAAAACAUGAAAACUUUUAUUUUUGUGUUUUAUUAUUUAAGAAGACUUUGUUUAUCAUGUGAAGAUAUUUUAUGACACAUUCAUGCAGAAAUCCCACAGGGUUCACAUACGGUUCUCUCCUCUGCUGUAUAUUUGUGUCCAGCAGAGGGCACUACUGCUUCACUUCACUUUUACUGUCAUUUCACCCCAUGUUACCCCUUCAUGCAGUUUUAUAACCCCACACAACUAUUCAGAAAGCCUCAAACAUCCACAUAUAUGCUUGGCAUCAUAAAAAUCUUGGUUUUUUUUCAUUGCUGAACACGACCAACAACUUUAGAGGGAAAAUGAAGCCGCAGCACAGAAUGUUUAUGGAGCUUCAGUUCAUGUCAUAAACUCAGCCAAAUAUCAUCUGAAAACCUCUCAUGAUGUCGGAGCAGCACCCACAGGAACUCCUUCACUACGAGGGAAAUCCAUCAGGAUCUGCAGCGGAUCCAGAACUCUGCUGCUCGGGUUCUCACAGGGACCAGGAGAGGAGAACACAUCGGUCCAGUUCUGGGGUUAGGGUUACCCGUCUGGUUACCUGUCUGGUUACCUGUCUGGUUACCCGUCUGGUUACCUGCCUGGUUAACCGUCUGGUUACCUGCCAAGUUACCUGCCAGGUUACCACUCUGGUUACCUGUCUGGUUACCUGCCUGGUUACCCGUCUGGCACCUGUCUGGUUACCCGCCUUACCCGUCUGAUUAGGGUAAGGCGGGUAAUUAGCACCUGCCAGGUACUUAAGGCAGAGGAGGAGUUACCAAGGUGGGCAGAGCAGCAUGCUGGGUAGCAUUAUGGGUUUAGUUUGAACUGGUCUGGUCUGUUUGUUUUUCCUCCUCAGCAGUCUUCCACUGCUGGGUUUUGUUAUUUUAGUUUGAGGUUGGACUUUGGUAGUCUUGAUUUUCAGGCUUUGUUUGUUUGUUGCUCAGGCAGCCAUUAGCAGGGAGCUGCUGAGUCUCCAUGACUUAUUUCAUGUUUGUUCUUUCACAGGAUUUAUUCAAUAAACAGAGUUUCUCUUCUUCUCAUUGGUGUCCAGUUUUUAACCCCCCCUUUUGUAUAUUCUCUCUCUAGACCCGAGCCAGGUUUAGGGGACAUAGCACCCAGUUUGUACCAGCCAGACCUCUCUGCUCAUCUGGAUCCUGGAGUCAGAACUAAACAUGGAGAAGCUGCAUUCAGCUUCUAUGCUCCACAGAUCUGGAACCUUAGAUCAGCUCAAACACUCACCUGUUCUCAGCUGCAUUGGAUUCAAACGUUUAAAUGAACGUCCUUUCCUGAAGCGACCGUGUCGCCGUUUCAUUGUUUCCUCCUGAAACAUGACGGCUGUCGAACGAGCAGACGUGGUUCCACUUCACUGACGUUUCUGUCAUCUG